rnacentral:rRNA from 1 species
UUAGCCUACGGGGGCAGCAGUGGGGAAUGUUGCACAAUGGGGGAAACCCUGAUGCAGCGACGCCGCGUGAAGGAAGAAGGCCUUCGGGUUGUAAACUUCUGUCUUCAGGGACGAUAAUGACGGUACCUGAGGAGGAAGCUCCGGCUAACUACGUGCCAGCAGCCGCGGUAAUACGUAGGGAGCGAGCGUUGUCCGGAAUUACUGGGUGUAAAGGGAGCGUAGGCGGGAUUGCAAGUUGAAUGUGAAAUCUAUGGGCUUAACCCAUAAACUGCGUUCAAAACUGCAGUUCUUGAGUGAAGUAGAGG